GGCCACAGCCAUAUCACCCUGCAGCCCAAGACUGGUUACCCACUGAAGCUAAGCAGGACCUGGAUGGGAGACCUCCUGAGAAAACUUGGUUGCUAUUGGAA
rnacentral:rRNA from 1 species